UGAAAAGUGCAGGCAUGCUGGAGAAGUGCCAGUGUCAAGGCGGGCUGGCAGGCAGUGACAGGUGGUGCUUCUGCAGGGUGGUGGAGCACGGUGGUGGGGGGUCUGGAACUAGGCAAGAUGUUCAGACUCAGGAAGGCAUGCAUCACUGUCAGGAGCCCGUCAGACUCAAGACCAGAAAGACAGGGCUCUGGUUCUGAAGAGACUGAGGACGAGGCUGCUUUUCAAGGGAGGGAGCAGUGCUGGGGGUUGGUGGUCCCUUGUCAUGGGAGGAAGGUCAUGCCCAGUCACUAGACUAUGAUCAUAAAGGAGACCGGAACAACCCAGUCCAUUUUCAGUUUCAAACACUUGUAUUUCUGACCUAUAUGUCCCUGACUGGGGAUAUAUGACGUCCUCCUGUCUAAAGCAAGCCUCAACCUAUAAGAAAUAAUGUCAAAUGGCUUCAGCAGUCAGUAGUAGUGGCCCAGGGGGACAGGUAGGUCAUUACACUGACAAUACAAUUCUGCUGAAUGAACAAGAGGGUACAGCUUCCACAGGAGCCAUUUGCUUGGUAUGCUUAUUAAUUUCCAACGUGCCAUUCUGGGAUCUUUCCCAGAAAUGUCAUCCAUGACUCCUGGGAGGAAUUUUUCCAAGCAGGUGUCACCACUUUGCUGCUUAGAGAGGGAGCUUUUGAAAGCAACAGGAGUUCCGUUUUGUCUACCAGGUAGCCUAGGCCGAAGCAAAAAUACCCAGCGUAGGAGAGAGGGUAGAAAAUCUAACGAGGGUUUCAGAGUCAUAAUGUCUGGAAGUGGAAAACCAUUGAACAGUUGCUCUACUGGCUGGAGAACACACUGGAACUACUAGCCGAGAACACAGCCUCAGAUUUGCUGGGACUAAUGCCGUAGAACCCCACCUUACAAACACUCCUCAGUUGUAGAAUCUUUUGUUCAAAUGGAUUUUCUAUGUGGAAACAGAAGACCAGCAGCUUUUGCUGAAGCAUGGUGAAAGGCUUACAUCCUGCCCAG
rnacentral:lncRNA from 1 species